rnacentral:rRNA from 1 species
GAUGAACGCUAGCGGCAGGCCUAAUACAUGCAAGUCGAGGGGUAGAAGAGGCAUGCUUCUUUGAGACCGGCGCACGGGUGCGUAACGCGUAUGCAACCUACCUUCAUCUGGGGGAUAGCCCGGAGAAAUCCGGAUUAAUACCGCAUAAAAUCACAGGAUGGCAUUAUCCAAUGAUCAAACAUUUAUGGGAUGGAGAUGGGCAUGCGUGUCAUUAGCUAGUUGGCGGGGUAACGGCCCACCAAGGCGACGAUGACUAGGGGAUCUGAGAGGAUGGCCUCCCGUCCUGGUACUGAGACACGGACCAGACUCCUACGGGAGGCAGCAGUAAGGAAUCUUGGUCAAGGGAGGCAACUAUGAACCAUCCAUGCCGCGUGCAGGAAGAUUGCCCUAUGGGUUGUAAACUGCUUUUAUUCGGGAAUAAACCUUAUUACGUGUAAUAAGCUGAAUGUACCGAAGGAAUAAGGAUCGGCUAACUCCGUGCCAGCCGCCGCGGUAACAC